GGUGAGAUGGCCGAGUGGUUAUGGCGCUGCGUUCAGGAUUCUCCGUAUCCAUCUCGAUACAGAUUUGUUAACGCUGAACAAAAUUUCGCAGUGGAGCAAUCCGCGUGGGUUCGAGUCCCACUCUCAUCA